rnacentral:rRNA from 1 species
AUUGAACGCUGGCGGCAGGCUUAACACAUGCAAGUCGAGCGAGUGGCGGACGGGUGAGUAAUGUCUGGGAAACUGCCUGAUGGAGGGGGAUAACUACUGGAAACGGUAGCUAAUACCGCAUACCAUCAGAUGUGCCCAGAUGGGAUUAGCUAGUGGGUGGGGUAAUGGCUCACCAAGGCGACGAUCCCUAGCUGGUCUGAGAGGAUGACCAGCCACACUGGGACUGAGACACGGUCCAGACUCCUACGUGAGGCAGCAGUGGGGAAUAUUGGACAAUGGGCGCAAGCCUGAUGCAGCCAUGCCGCGUGUAUGAAGAAGGCCUUCGGGUUGUAAAGUACUUUCAGCGGGGAGGCGUUACUUGCAGAAGAAGCACCGGCUAACUCCGUGCCAGCAGCCGCGGUAAUAC